UGAUAGAGGCGCGAGGUUAAAAAUUAGCAUAUCCGAGGCAGCGAAGCCACAGACGGUAUGUGAAAGGGAACCUUGCCGAAACGGAUACCGAUCGCAACGGUAUUCAGUUGGGCGUCAGGAUAAUAUCCUGCCGACUGUCGCAUAAGCGGAGUGCUAUCGGAU
rnacentral:ncRNA from 1 species